rnacentral:lncRNA from 1 species
AUUGACCUGAAAAAAUUUCCAGAAGCAGAAGAGUACAGGAAGCUGAGGGAAGCAUCAGAGACAUGGGGAUGCUUCAGGCUUGUGAACCACAUGAUCCCACCAGCUCUGAUGUCGGAGAUGAUAUCAGUGGUCAGAUCUUUGCUGGACCUGCCCAUGGAGAUCAAGAAGCAGAACAAGGAAGUGAUAGCUGGCAGUGGAUACCUGGCUCCCAGCAAAGUCAACCCUAUCUAUGAAUCUUUAGGGUUCCACGACUUGGGAUCGCGUCAGGCUCUGGACAGCUUUUGCUCUCAGUUAAAUGCUUCUUCGUACCAGAGGUUAGCUUUUGAUCGUCUGAUAAUUUUACUAUUGCUUAAAUUUUAGCUAAGAGAAAACAAGAAAACACAACCUAUGUGUCUAGUGCUGCUCAGUCUCUGCUGAGGUCAAAUCUCAAACGAUGAUCGUUGAAUGAGAAGAUUGGUAGAACCUUAAUCUCUAGAUUAGUAAAUAAUGAUAUAUAUUAUUCGGUCAACAUGUCAACCCUAAACUCGAAGCUCUAAACUCUAUUGACGACUAUUUAUUGAAUGAAGAAGAAAAUAAAUUACAACCUUAAUAGAUUUUUCGAUACUUGUAUAUGUUAAAAAGCCACUUGGCUCCUUAAUUGCAAGGAACAAUUCCUCGUUACCUACCUGCAAAUAACAACAAAUACUGAAUUGACUUAAAAUAUAAAAACAAAAGUAUCCACAAACAUGUCAAUUGUGAUUUAUCAAUACUUAAAAACACAAAAACAAAAGUUUCUGCACAUAUGUUAAAUUGUGCUUUAGCAAAAUGUUAUAUACAAUGGUUUCAUCUAGAACAUUAAAAUCUAGUUGUUAAUUUGAGCAUACGUUGAUGCAUAGUAGAAAAACUCGUCUUAAAGUUGUUUUUGUCACUAAACCAACAGAGAGGUGAUAGAGAAGUAUGCUCAAGCAGUGUGCGAGCAGAUUGUGGACAUAGGGCAGAAGUUGGCAGAGAGUCUAGGGUUGGCUGAUAGUGAUUAUCUCAAGGGGUGGCCCUGCCAGUUCAGGAUAAACAAGUACACCUUCACUUCUGAAUCAGUUGGAUCCCUUGGCUUACGAUCACAUACAGACUCAGGAUUUCUAACCAUUCUUCAGGACGAUGAAAUUGUCGGUGGCUUGGAAGUAAUGGACAAAUCCGGCGCCUUUGUAGCCGUUGAUCCUUGCCCAGGCACUCUCGUUGUUAAUCUCGGGGAUGUCGCUCAUGUAAUAUAUUGUCUGUUUAGCGUCCCUCAAAUUCUCCAAGUUUGUAACAUGUUUCAUUUGUGCAUAUUUCCUUAUGUUGUUAAUAUUUUAUGUCAAGGCAUGGAGCAAUGGAAGGUUGUGCAAUGUGAAGCACAGAGUACAAUUCCGGGAGGCAAGAAUUCGAGUUUCGAUCUCUUCAUUCCAACGUGGACCGGAUGAGGAAGCGGGAGUGGAAGCUCCUCCAGAAUUGGUGGAUUCCGAGCACCCUCGACUUUACGUUCCCUUUACUUAUGAAGAUUACAGAAAGCUAAGACUCUCCGCAAACCUGCAUGCUGGUGAAGCCCUUCCACUCGUACGCAACCUCUCGUAAAGAGUAGUUUGGUAUUCUUGUGUUUUUUAAAUAAACCGUUGUGAGAAUAAAUAAUUAUAAAGUAAAGUAAUAAAGUGUUUGGUAAAUUUUAAUUGUAAAAUGGCUUAUAGCAACAAAACAGUGUUUGAUAAACUUUUAUGUAAUACGGCUGUGAAAGUAUAAAAUGAUCAAAAUGGGUAUGUGAUAAUGUGAUAUUAUCAAAUUUAUGUUUAUUUUCUUCUAUUUUCAUAUUUAUCUUUAAUGUUUAUUUUUGAGUAAAUUACACUAAACUACCUUAAUUAUAAAUUGUACCAAAAUUUUAAAUUACACAAAAUUACUUUAAUUAUAUAUUGAACCACAAUCUCAUAUUUUAAAAUUGUAAUGUCAUACAUCAUCCUACCAAUUCGUGACAAUACUAAAGUCUCUGUUAGCUUUUCUGUUAAAUAGUUAUGUGGUAAGCUCGGGACUCACUUCUCAGCCAAUUAGAUUAAAACAUUAAUUAAGUAUUAAUAAAUUAAAAAAAUUUAACUAUUUAAAAAUUAAAAAAAAUCAGAAAAUUCAAUUAAACAUGCAGUUGGUAGAGAUUCAUUGUCUCUGUCUGUACCAUCAUCUUCUUCACUUCAUCUGGUACAUGACAAAUUAAAGGUAUUGGCUUAUGGCUCAUUUUCUCCGCACCAGCCACCGCUCACCGCCCACCCCCAUCGCCCACUUCUAUUACUAGAUCUCCGAUUUCUCUCUUCCUUUACUAAAAAAAUUAGGAAUUUGAGAUUGGCCACUCAAAACCACAAAGCAGCAACCUGGCAGUGUUCAACAAAGAAGCAGGCUCCUCCUUCAACAAAGAAGCAGCCAUGACGUUGAUCUGGUUCUGGAGAUUGACGGCGAUGAAAUAUGUCGGGUACGUGGUGUUGGCGUGAAUGCCGCGGCGGCGGCGGGGAUCAAGAAUUGGGGUUUCUCGGCGGCGGAGAAGGACUCGACGUUUUCUUGGCGGGUGAGGGCGUGGUUGCAGAGGACAAGGUUGGUGAAGCCUAGGCCUUGUAGUUUGUGGACGAUGGCGGAGGAGGGGUGUCGGAGGAGGCGCGGUGUUGUGGUUUCAGUGGUGAAGGAAGGAAAGGGGGGCGGAUAGAGGGGAAGAAGGGUGAGGAUGGGUGGUUUGGCUGGGGUGGGCCCACUCCUCUUGAUUUAACUUGUUUUGGUAUAGAAGUUACUUUUUUUUUUAAUUUAUUUUUUUAUUUUAGAAAAAUAUGAAUUGCACUAUCAAUUAAUAGUCAAUUUAACAGACUAAUUAACAGAAGUUUGACAUUGUCACAAAUUUAAAAAUUGAGAUAUGACAUUGCAAUUGAGAUUGGGUGCGAUCCAUAAUUUAGGUAGUUUUGAGUAAAUUAUCCACAAGUCUAACUUGAAAUAAUAAUGGAGGUUUUGAACAUUAGUCCUUGUAAAAUAUUAAAAUUUUAAAAAAACCUUGCAAAAGAGUAAAUUACCAACAAGACGCUUAUGCUUGUAAACGUUUCUCCUGCUGAAUCAAAUGUGGACGAGACGUACAAUUCUCUAAUGUAUGUCACACUUCUCUUUAUUAUUUACUUUGUCUAAUUUCAAAUAAUUUAACCCUUAAUGUUUCUCCCAAAAGGUAACGACUACUAAUUUUUCACACCUUUAUGCUAAAUUCAGGUAUGCAUCAAGAGUUCGAUCAAUCGUGAAUGAUCCAAGCAAAAACGUUUCUUCAAAAGAAAUCAUGCGGCUGAAGAAGUUGGUUGCAUAUUGGAAAGAACAAGCAGGCAAGAGAGAAGACGACGAAGAUUUGGAAGAAAUUCAGGAUGAGCGACCGGGGAAAGAUAGAGAUGGCCGCCAUUCCAUGUAAACUUUCGCAGAAACUAGAUUGGCGAAACUUGUAGUUGGAAAUACUAGCAUUACAAGUUUAGGCAGAAUUUUGGAAUGUAAGCUUUAGGGUUUCGGCACGGUAGACCACAUCGAGCGAGCAUACGAUUUGGUUCUGUGUUCUAGUUGAUACUCUCGUUUUCUCAUUGUGUUGUGGUGAAAAAAGGUUGUAACCGGGUUAGGAGGAUAUAAGUUGUACAGUGUGGAUGGUGUGUAUAUAUGACAUACUCUUGGUUUUAUUUGUAUAUGGAGUUCGAAAUUUCGCCGUCGUCUUUCAUGUUUGUUUUCUCCAUAUUUUUGCUUCAAAGAAAAUACAGCCACUCAGAUUUUAUCCCAGCCAACACAAAGUGAAAUGAAAACAGAAAAGAAAAAAAAGACAGUUGCAGGAGUGAUGAACAAAUCUGGUGCCCUUGUGCCUGUUCAUCCUUUGCCCUGGCACUCCCCUUCGUCAAUCUUGGAGACUUUGCUCAGGUAUUACGUGACUAUUUUCUACAAUAAUAAUGCUAUUUAAUAACACCGUGUCGUUGAUAGUUUUAUACCAAGGCAUGGAGCAAUGGGAGGCUGUCCAUUUUUCUUAUGGCCAAAGGAGGAGGCGAUGGAAGCUCCGCCAGAACUCGUGGAUUAGGAUCAGCCUCGUCUCUACGUCCCUUUUGUGUACAAUGUUAUAGAGCUCAUUUGACAAGUGCUUUUAAAUGACCGAAGGCUCUUUUAGAUAAAAUAUUUUUGUGUUGUAAAAGCAACAUGUACUUUUAGCAUGAACAACACUUCAAGUGCUUUUCCAAAAUUAAAUUUCAUUUUUACUAAGAUUUGGUUCCAAAAAUAUUUUAUCUAAAACUGCUUUCAGGUGUUUAACACUUGCCAAAUGGGUCUACAGAGUUAGCAAGUUCAAACUCUCCAGAAAAUUGAAAGCUGAUGGAGCCCCUGCACUCCUACCUACGCACCCCUUGCUAAUUUGCUGAUAUGUAUAUGGCAAGCUUAGGUAGCAUAUAUCAUCCUGCCCUUAGCCUAUGUUAAACCCAGAAAGAUCAAAGCAUUUGUAGAAUUUUAUCUUGUACGUGAGGUUUUAAGUUCAAAUCCUCCUCUCCGAGUGUGUACCAGAAAAAAAAAACUUCAAUUGAAUUCUUAUCGAACUUAAGUAUAAAAUAUAUCUUUUAUCAAGCUUAGUGGAUAUUUUUAUAAUUUUUCUGCUAUUUUCUCAUCAUACAUUCUACUAAACCUUUUUAUCUAAUUUGCUAAAUAGAUAUUUUCAGAGGAGUUUCUGUGAACAUCCAAAUAUUAGGCUUAUCACAAAAUUUGAUAUUCCUAGCAUUAUUGACCUUCAUAGCAUCUCACUUAACCCAUAAAUAUUCGAAAAGGAUAAUGAUUUUAAUCCCCUUUAGCUAUAUAUGCACUUCAAAAUAAAUGUAUAUUCCAAUUUUCUCAACUCUUUAAAUUAAGGGAACUUUAACGAAAAACUUCUGGUACUGUUCACUUUAACGAAAAAUCAUAUUUUUACAUUAAAAAGUCAAUCCUGGUACUAUUCACUUUACCCUUUAUUUUGUACUUAUCGUUAAAACUCAAAGUUUUGAAGCUUUUUUCAUUAGUUUUCCUUUAAAUUAAGAGACUAGCUACUGUAUGUUAAUAUAUUCACCAUCUAACAGUCAUAUAUGCAAUCGAAAAUAUAGAUUAUCAUCUCUACCCAUAUAUAUGUUAGACGGUGAAUGUCUUCUAGCAACCCCAAGCCAACAAGACCCUCCUCUUUGCGAGGAUUGGAGGAGGGGAGAAGGGGGUUAACGUCUAUUGUUAUUGGUUUUUGCAAUUUUUUUUGUCAUUCCUAAUGUUAUAACACGUCUAUAAUUUUACCAUAUUUUUGAAAAUUGUGAAAUUAUCAAAAUGCUCUUAGAGGGUAUGUGUUGACUUUCAUUGACUUAGUAGUUAGGACACGUGUGAGAUAUUAAUUAUUAUAUUCUAAUAGUAUUUGUCAUUACGGACAACUGAGCACAUGCGUAGUGAAAAUUGGAAUAAGAAAGAUUUUACAAAACCUGUAUCAAUCAUUUUAUUCAAGGUAGAGGGAAAAGAUAAUAUCACUACUAAGAACCAAAUACAAUUCUUGUUUGUUCGGCUUGAAGUGUAGUUCUUGACAUGUUAUCUUCUUUUUGGGUAGGCGAUACAGACUCGGUGGAUAAAUCCAAAUAUCAUUCUGAAAAACCCAGAUGAGAGCUACAUCUACAGUAAGAGGUGGGGAAGCAGAAAGUGAAGGUUAAGUUGCGGAUUAAUGUAUGGGUCAUGAUUCUGGUUAUGUUUUGGAAUUGGACCCAAUAACGUUUUCUGGCGGGGUCAGAGAGGAUCUAUAUAUAUCAUUUCCUUUUUUUUUUUGGUCACAUAUAGAGAAAUAUAAGACAGACAGUUUUAUACCUGAGGAGAAAGAUAAAAAAUAGCGGGCAUUACAUAGGGGCAUGAAAGUAUUGUUGCUAAAAUUUGGAUUGUAAUGGUUUUUUUUUUUAUUUUUUUUAUUUUUUUUAUUUUUGGAAAUAGGAUUGUAAUGGUUUAGAGAAAAUUGUAAUAAUAGUCUUUCAAUUUUAAUCUAAUUAGAGUAAGGAUUUCUCAACUAAAAAUCCAUAAUCAUUGGUUCCUCAACUCAUAAAAAAGUGCAACUAUGGUCAUUUUCGUCAACUUUGUUAGAAUUCUGUCACAAUGAGUCAUGCUGGAAGAAUUAUUGCUACAAUUUGGUUAAAGUUGAAGAAUCAUUGCUCCAAUUUGGUUAAAGUUAAAGGACCAUUUCUCCAAAUAGGUUAAAGUUAAAUGAUCAUUGUAAUUUUUCUCAUUCGGUUUUCCAUAUUUGUCCUUUGGUUGAACUUCACACGCGUGACACGUGACUCAUUUUGACAGAAGUUCUAACGGAGUUGACGAAAAAUAUGAAGCAAAAAAUAUCCCAAAAAUUAGAGAAGACACGUGAACAUUUGUGAACAUUUUUUUAAGAAAGAUAAGAAUGCCCUCAUUAAAUGCUUGGAGCAAAAACCAUUUUUUUCAUGCAACCUGAAGCUGUUGUUGUUGGGCUGCAGCUCACGCUGGGGUUACAUAGACAGCACCCCGAAUUUUCUAGGCUGCUCCAAUCUCGACGCAAGCCAAUUUAUGGCUUGUUUUUUAUUCAAGCUGUACCCAACAAUGUUGGGAUGCCUACGGCUAAACUCAAAUUUGGGUACACACCCCAACUCUAGUGUCUAAUGGAAACCAAAAUCAAGGCGUGAUCAUCACUCGAAUAAGUGAUGAAGUCAUAAUAUACAUGAACUCAUAACUAAAAUUAGUAAAUUUUAAAAACUACGGAAAUUUUGACAGAACUUCCCCUAAUACAUGGAUAAGACAAAUCAAAACACCUGCAAGUACGUACUUUAUUUCAAUACUUUUGCAAAGGGCCACAAGGCAACCCUAACUCAAGUGAUUUGGUCUAAAGUCAACCACCCUAAUUAUUUUUAUUCCGAAUCAGACCACAAUUCAACCUAACCCAAAUGAUAUUCGAUUUGGGUUGGAUGCUCCAACUAUGCUGUUUUGGAUCAGGUCUUUUGAUCCAGAGUUGGAUGCUCUUUGUGGCACCAUAUAUAAUUCAGUUAUGUGUUUUAUCGAAUCCGAUCACAAAUGAGAUAGUGUGUUUAGAACAUAAUUUUUAAAAAACAAAGCAGCAAAUCGAAUUCCAAUUUCCUUGCAAUCUUUGAUGUGAAUAAUUACUUGAUGAGUGAAAGUGAACAAAAAUUGCAAAUUAAAAUUGACGUGUCACCUCAUAAUUAAACCCAGCUCAUCCUCCCAUACACGAAACAAACACAACAAAAUCUCAUCUUUUUCCACACAAACAAACAGAGAGAGACAACGGCAGCUCAGCUUCCUUCAUCAAGAUUCGCACAAUAAAGUUUACCCAGCUGUUCAUCGAUGGAGAUUUCGUCGAUUCCGUUUCAGGUUUCUCGCCAUUUUUUUUCCUUCUUUUCGCAAGCUAUGAGCUUUCAUUUAGUAAAAACCGUUUCUUUACUGCCCGUUUUCACCAUGCCUACGAACUGUUUGUGUUUCUGCCUCAACCAAAUUUGCGAACUCUCAACAUUCAAGAGCCCAUCUAUUUUUUAAUCUUGUUAAUGACACAUAUAUGAAGAUGUAUACAUAUACAUUUAUAUAUAUACACAGGAUCAGCUCUGAGAUUUUAUGUAUCCUGUGUGGAAGACAACAAAUUGGCCUUGUAUACAAACUCUUGCUACAAAGCUAAUUUAUCUGUCUACCAUUGUAUUAAUAAGCGAUCUAAAUGAAGUAUUAUUACUUGAGUUAUAGUUUAAACUAACACAUUACCUUCACAAAUUUCAAUUAAGUGCCUCAAAUGUUCGCCAACUUCUCAACAAUUUCUUCCUGUGGCUUGUCAACUAUGGUGCCCUUCUACAUUCAAAAAGGGGAAUGAAAUGUUAGAGCAUGAAAAGGAAUCCAUUUGAUCUCGGUCAUGAAAGUUUCUUGUAAAUACCUCAGAGUCAUCCAAAAGCCGAAGUGAGCCAGAUUUGCGUUUCAGAAGAUCAACAACAGUUUCAUUGUAGAUAUCCAAAGCAGAAAAUUUCAAAACAAAAAUCCCUUUCUGGCGUCUACGAGAGGAUUCCAAAGGCUAUAUGGUCAUGGUAUGAACUAUGACGUGCAUUCUUGAUGUGUUUGAAGAUGCCCCUCACUGCAUUUUCGGUGAUUCCUCUUGUGGUAAAUGUCUUACCACUACUAGUCUGCCCGUAUGCAAAAAUUGUAGCAGUCAAAAGAAAAUGUGGCAACUUAGAAUCGGCAGAAGACCAUGUUGCACGGGAUAUAAUGUACAUAUAAGUCUACAAGUUAGUAGCUCGAUGUUCAGUUACCGUUCAUUCCUGUGAGUGCAGAUAAAGCAACAUCCUUGGCUCCUUCCUCGUAAACCUUCUGAGUUGAGCACAUCAGGCCAAAAACCUUAUCUGUCGCAUUUAAAUCACAACAAAUGAGGUACUUGAGUAAAAACAACUCUAUCAGAAACUUGACUCCGAAGAAAACAAAACGGAAUGUACCAAAAAUUACAAUAUCGUACAUCAAAUUAUUUUCACACAUCGAAACCUCUGCGCGGUUGACAGAAUUCAGCAGCGAACAAAGGCGUACGGGUUUGAAGGCCGCUCAUGAUUCGGAUUCUUUGAAAACUAUAGUGUGCUCAUCCAAGCAGUCCCAAGCUAUAACAUCAUACAUUACCUGCUCUCGCCUGUUCAGCGGCCUCAAACGAACAGUAACCAAAAUUUUCUCCUCACUGACUUUUGAACCACCCGGAGCGGAACACGGAGUCCUUUGCAGCUUAGCCGAAGGUGUUGCUGGUGUCCCCGGCAUUAUAUUCACUUACUAACCUCCACUCUAAAAGAACAACAGAAGCCAAAUCAAUCAGAAUCAUCACCGAUCAUAAAAAUUCACAUUUUCGAUCUAGAACAAUCCAGAGAAUUCCUAGAGAACUACUUUUCUUGGAUUGCAAAAUUUAACCGAUACAAAUUGGCGAAAACCCUGGCAGGGAGGCCGGGGUUUGGACCCACUUCGGGUUGUAGACGCGUGUCACCCGUGCGGUAGUCACGUUCUGAGUUUACAAACAGGAAACGGGGUGAUAAAGAGUAAUGCUGUAUAGAAAAAAUUUGGAAACAAAAUUUAUGGGUAAAUUAUAUAAAAUUACUUUAAUUAUUAAGUCUGAAUUUUAUUGGAGUCAACCAAAGGAGUCCUAAGCCAACAAGGCUUCCUGCUUUGUGAGAGACGGAGGAGGAACGUCUAUCGUAAGCUGUCUUACUCUUGCUUUGCAAAUACGCUGUUUUCAUUACUCGAACUUGUGACUCUUUGGUCAUAAUGGAGCAACAUUUCCAUUGCGUUCAAGUUCGCCCUCAAAUAAAAAAGAGAGUACAAAAGAUAAAAAAAAGGGUGUGAAGAAAGCCACUUAACAAUCUAAAGUGCUUUUGUUGCAGUAUUCAAGUAACUUUUCUAUGUGCAAGAUUGGUUUGACAUACAAACAUAGUAGCAUCAUGUUGCAUUGCAUUGUGCUGGUGAAAAAUGAGCGCAUCAGUAAAGAAAGAUAAAUUAUUGUUGAUGACAUCAAGUUGUCACAAAAGUUACUUUCAUAUUAAAAGGUGGUAUAUAUGAAAAUACUUCGUAUAAAUCACUUUUGAAAAGAAGUUGUCACAAUAAUUAUUCUCUUUUAGCUUGAUUACAUUCACAUUUGAAGUUAGUAGGUAGGAAACUGUUUUGCAGAUAGAAAGAAAAGCGAGGACUGAUAUAACAAGAGAGUGUCCAUUGUCCCUACUACGCUGCAUAUACUAAGAAAAGUCCUGGAAGUUGUUCUUUUGAUUUUUGGUCAUGACUUAGUUGACUGGGAACCUUUGUUUACGUAAAGUUAGAUUUCAACUAAGUGUUCAGACGAUUACCGUUUCAUCAAUCAGUAGAUAUGUACACAUUUUAUCCUCCAUCAUUUUCUAAGAUGAAAAGACGUGAAUAAAAAUUCAUAUGUUAAGUUAUGAAUGACUUACUGAUGUUAAGAGUGAAUUUCAAAUCAGAUAAAAAAGUAACUUUAUAUGUGUUUAUAAGUAAUUAAGUUACUUCUUAUAUUGUCAAUUGUUUUUAUGAUGGAAUCUCACGUAAUGGACAACCUAAUUUGAUAUCGAAUUUAUCAUCUACGAGAUUUGAAGAUAAGAUCUCUAACUUCUGAAUGAAGAAGAAUACCACCAUAUUAUACCGUUAAAUUUUCAUGAUUGUCCCAGUUUCUAGUUCAUUGGCUUCCAUCCACAAACAAAACUUUUAUAUGGGAUAGGGUUCUUCUAUAUCGUUUGGUACGUGGGACGGAACGGGACAACUUUGGCUGAUUUUUCGUUCCACCUCUUCCUCUUGGAACGACCCGUUCCACAUCCGUGGAACACAAAUUUAUAACAUUUUAUGACAAAAUUUCUCCUUAUCUUUUUCAAUAUUUACAUCAUCUGUUCCGUCUUGUUCCGUCCCGUCUGCGUACCAAACGGUACCCUAAGUCAUGAGUAACCAAAUUGAAAGUCUGUGUUCACCAAAAAAUAAAAAAUAAAAAAUAAAAAAUAAAAAAGGAAAAAGAGGAACUCUGUACUCUUUUUGUCCAAGUUGAAAGUCUGGAUUGUUUUUACUCCAACUUAAGUCAUAUUGCGGAACUUAUACCUGCAUGGUUUUAAACUCGACUUUUAUAAAGAGUAAUAUUAAGAAUAUUAAAUUUAUAGAUUAAAUUUUGUAAAUUAAAUAAUAUGAAAAUUGAUAAUUGAGUUAUUACUUAAACAUUAAUAAACAUGUUUAUUUUUUUAUUGGUUACACAUCAUUUAAGUUUUAAUUUUAAUCUAUAAAUUUAGUCUUCCUAUCAUUACUCUUUUGGAAAUGAUGAGUUUUAUACCAAGAGAGAGAGGAUUCUUGCCGGAUACUCUUUGUGAGAAUCUUGGAGAUCUUCUAAUCACAUUUGUUUAUCGUGCAUAAUGUCAUCAUUUUAUGUCAAGUACAGUUUAUAUUUAAUAUUAAAUAAAAAAUUUACAAUAAUUUAUAAUUGCACCUAUAUAACGAAUAUGAUUUAAGAAUUCCUGAAUCCUUCACAAAAAGCACACGGCAAAGAUUUCUCUUCUAUACUGAUCUAUUAUUAUAGUGGCCCACUUCUGCAAGUGGAGAGCCAUGCGUUGAAGCACAAACAUGGAAACUGACGCGCACGAUCCCAUCUGCAGGAGGUGACCCCACCCACGUGGGCUGUCCGGGCACUUGCUGCCUUGAAUAUUGAGCCCAAUGGCACUUUUGACUAAUCCAAAGGCAGACAAAAAUUUAUAUAUCCAUAUACUAGUAUACAUAAAUUUAUUAUAAACACUAACAAACUACCACACUUAGAUUGGAUGUGUUUCAUAUAUAUAUUUCAUGUGUUUCGUGUUUUAUGCAUAUUUAUUAAGAAAUUUUAACGAAAAGCUCCUGGUCUGUUAACUUUAAUGAAAAAUCAUAUUUUUACACUAAAAAGUCAAUCAUGAUAUUAUUCACUUUACCUUUUAUUUUGUCUAUAUCAUUAAAACUCAAAAUUUUCAAGCCCUUUUCAUUAGUUUUUCUUAUUUAUUAUGUGUUUUAUUUUCUUUCAUAAUCUUUUAUGAGUUUUUUGGUGUCGAUUUAUAGUGUAAAAAUAAAAAUCCAAACAUGUACGUUUAAUGCCAUGUCAGUGGUUAAUUUGAUUUCCUUCAUAUUUAUGGUGCUAAUUAAUAUGUUUUAUGUAAAAGAAAUUGCAUUCAUCAGUACGCAUUGCAUGAAAAAGGGAAGAAUAAUUUGUCCAAUAUAAUCAUUUUAUUAUAUAACCGAAAGAAAAAGGUAAAUAAUUGUAGCUGAGUGGUUUCCAACUAAUAAUAGUGUGAUGAAACGAUGAAUUGACCAUCAAGAUCACCAGACAUUUGAAUAUACGAAAAAGGAAUGCGUCGGUAACAAAAAAACAAACUGUUUGAUGAAAUGAUCUUGCAACGAAAGAGAUGAGAAGUUUCGUCUCAACUUUAAUCUUUUCACUUUAUCAGUCACAUUGAAAGGUAGUAAGUAAGAAGUUGCUUCAUUGGUAGGGAGAAAAGCAUGAUGACUGAUAUAUAUAACAAGUGAGAGUCAAUUGUCCAUACACCCAGACCAUCCUGCAUAUUCCAAUUCUUUGAGAGGCUCUUUUCCUUAGUUUAUGGUCUGGCUUUAAUUCUCCUAUGGCCAAUCAACUUGUCCCUUCUUCUUCCUCCAACAGUACUCCUUCAUGGACAUACGAUGUCUUUUUGAGCUUUAGAGGAGAUACACGCACCAAUUUUACAGAUCAUUUACACCAUGCCUUUGACCGUCACGGAAUCAAUACUUUCAUUGAUCAUCGUGAACUUCCAACAGGAGAAGAAAUAUCACCAACUCUUCUCAAAGCAAUUGAAAACUCGAGAAUUUCUGUCAUCGUAUUCUCUGAACACUAUGCAUCUUCAAGAUGGUGCUUGAACGAGCUCGUACAUAUCCUUGAAUGUAGAAAGUCAAAGGGACAACUGAUAAGGCCAAUUUUCUACAAGGUGGAUCCAUCGGAUGUCCGAAACCAAAAAAAAUAGUUAUGAUGCUGCAUUUGCUGACCAUAGCCUCAAAUAUAAGAAUGACCUGGAGAAGGUGCAAAGAUGGAGGACAGCUCUUACAGAAGCAGCAAAUUUGAAAGGAGCUACUCUCAAUGAGGGAGAGUACGUUUAUUUCUGACCCUUCCUGUAUAUGGUUUUUGAGUUGCUUUACUCUAUAUUUCAGAAUUUACUACUUCCUUUUACAAAAUAAUCUUUUUCUCAAUCUAAUGAUAUUUAGGGUUGUUUUAUUCACACUACACAUAUGAUUAAAUAUACCUCACAUAUUAAAUACACUUCACAUAUUGUUGAACACACCUUACAUACUAUAUAAUUAUGCAGGGCAUUUCUGUUGAUUUCAAAUUAGAAAGUGACAUACAAUGCAUAAAAUAAAGUUUAUCAAUGAAUUUUUACUUUUAUAAGGGAGGGUGGGAGUGGCUUGGAGAGCGUGAAGCAAAUUAAUUUUUGGGAUACACCUUAAAAAUGAUUUGGGGUACUCAAAAUUUUUGUUUGAUUUUUAAAUCUUAUUAGGCCUAAACAGUCAUUAUAUAAAUCUUUAAUAAUAUGUAGUGUGCUAAUAAAAACAACUCAAGCUAAAUCAAUAAUUUUUCCAACAAAAAGAGAAUAACAGUUAUAAAUUAGGGCUUAAUUGAUAUUAUUGUAUUCUCCUAACAAAAGAAAAAUGGCAAAAAAAAAAUAUAUAUAAGGUAUUUUGAUGUGGGUCCAAAGUAACUAAAAAUUGGAUCUAUUUCAAAAGUCAAAAGUCAUUAAAAAUUAGACAUAUUUCACAAGUUAAGCUAUAAAAUUGGACCUAUUUCAAAUUUUUCCUAUAUAUAUUGUUGGGAAUUUGGAAUUUUUUUAAAAAGUAGUGUUGCACUUAUCUUUUAUUUGUAUCAGUUCUUUAAGACCAUCUCCAACCCUUGGGCUAAAAGCCAAAUUUUUUAGCCCGGAAAAUUUAGCUUUUAGCCCAGAAACAUCUUUUCUACUCCAACCCUUCUACCCUAAAAUUUUAGCCCGGAAUUAUUAAAGAAUGAAAUUAGCCUAAAUUUUUUUCUUAAAUCAAUUUUUUUUUAAAAAUAAAUAUGUAGAUUAUUGUAAAUUAAUUUUAUGAACAUUUUAAUCUAAAAAAAUUUAAAUUCCGAUAAACAUUUCACAUUUAGCCCGGGGGAAAGCUGGGGGGUAUUUGGCCCAGAAAUAGCAUUUGGCAUUUAGCCUAAAAUUUUAGCAUGGGUUGGAGAGUGUUUGGGGGGUAAUUUGGGGGGUAAUUUGGCUUUUAGCCCAGGGUUGGAGAUGGUCUAAUAGAGACUAGCAUUUGUAUACACAUUUAUUUAUUUAUUUUUAACUGUAGAUGAGGCUUCAAUAAAAAAAAAAAAUUUGGACCUGUGAAAUUACAUUAUUGCCCAUCAUUUUUUUUUUGUGAUAGAAGAUUAAUUUGUCUUUUCACCCUCUUUUGGUUGAUGAAGAGGGUUUUAUUAAUUAGUAGAUAUAAGGUUUACUAACAUAUUUAAAUUUAUCUUUUUUAAAAUCGUUUGUUACUAUGAAUUAUGUUAGUUGACUGAAGAAUUAAGAAGUGCUUUUCACAAAAAAAAAAAAAGAAGAAGAAAAGAAUUAAGAAGUGCUGAAAUGAAAAUAAGAAUUAAGAGGCGUUCAGGGUCCGGAUUGGAUCAAGUUUACUGUUUGCCCCCAAAAUAAUUGUCAAAUCAAUUACGAUAUAACGAUUUAGUUUGGUUGAAACUUGAUAAAAAUCUGAAACAAACCGAAGCAAACCAACCAACCCAUAAGCCAUAACCGAAGCUAAUAUUUUUUCUUUUGCACUUUUUUUUUACUUUGUUAGCACUUAGAGUAGCCCAACAAUAACAAAUAAUUCCAAAUCUGCCACAUAUUAUUCAUAUUCGAGUACAUAUAACCACGCAUCUUAAAAUUCAUCAUGUCAUCAAACUUUAAUAUAACUCUACGAUAUCAUUAUCUUUAUAUUCAACAUCCUUAUCUAGUUAUUAGCCAAUAAGAGUACUAAAUGGGUAAAAUAAAAUUAAUAUAAGAACAAAUAAGAGUACUAACUGCAAUAAAUUCAUUAUUAGGGGUGAAUUUUUUCACCAUAUUACCGUACCAACCAAAUUACCAACGGUACCACACCAAUUUUGUGCCAAUUUUUGUACUAUAUGUAAUGGUGCGCUAAUUGUACCAUACCAACAUAAUUGGUAUGAUAAUGGUAUUUAAAAUCAAUAUGUACAGUACCAUAGAAAAUUAGAAUUAGAUGCCUUAUUUUAGACAUUUAUAAACUAAACAUUUGUUACCUUCCAACUUUUGAUUAAAUUGCUUUCACAUUUGAUUAAACCCUAUAUUCUAGGUAUAUUCUUAACUUAACUGUUUUUUUAAUUUUGAAUUUAUUUCCAUAUCAAAAAUGCUAAUAUUAAUUAAUUAAUUGCUAUUUUUAUGUAUCUCAUCACUUUCUCAAUUUAAGGAUUCAAUUAUAUCUAGUGGGAUGAAGAUUAAUUGGAUGGAAUAUAAUUUUAUUCAAUUUUCAACUCCACAUUUUAUAUAAAUUAUAAAAAAAAAAGUCAUUUUAAAAUUAAAAUAAAGACAACACAAUGCACUAAUAACUUGGUACGUACCGAAUAAAAAAUUGCACAACGUACCAAAUGUAAUAUUUUAUAACGUAUCAAAGUACUAAUACUUACACAAAUUAAAUUUAUACAAUUAACGUACACGAAUUAAAUUUAUAUUUAAUAUAUGUGCAUGUUAUAUCUCAUAAUUAUAUUUUAAUAGGAUAUUUGAUGUAUUUUUAGAAUUUAAACAAAAAAAUAUAUUUUGAUUUAGUUUGUUACUUUUAACUUUAGCUUCUAUUUUAUUUAGUUUGUAACUUCUAUUUGGUUUUUAAACUUAAUUUGUAUCUUAAAUCUUGAUGCAUGACUUGAUUUACUAAAUGUGUUUGAAAUGUGAAUGAUGAAGUUUGAUUAUAACUAAAUAGGUAACACGUAUAUUAGAUUACCUCAAUGAUUAAAGAUGGUGUUAAGUAACAACUUAAUACGUGUGUAUUAUAUCAUGAUUGAUAAGACAUUUUUACGGCUAAAAAAUUUUGGGUUACAUCUUAAAAAUUAAAAGAAUAACAAUAAUAUGUUUUCGGCUAAAAAAAAAAGUUAUCAAUGAAUUGGAGUAUUAAAAAAAAGGUUAAGGCCACCAAAUUGAUAGUAUCAUUACCGUACCAUGCCAACAAAAUUAAAUGUGUCAUUGUUUUUUUUUUACCGGUAGGUAUGAAACUACAUUUAUUAACAACAUCGUUGUGGAGAUUUCAACCCAAUUAUUAUUAAAUUGCACAUAUUUGCAUGUGGCUGAGUACCCAGUUGGAAUAGAGUCUUGUGCAAAAGAGGUGGAAGUGCUUUUAGAUGUCGGUGGAAAUGAUCGUCGUGUAGUUGGGAUUUGGGGGACAUCUGGAAUAGGCAAGACAGCAAUUGCAAAAGGUGUUUAUAAUGCAAUUGCUCAUAAGUUUGAAGGCAGUUGUUUUCUGGUAGAUGUUAGUGAAACAUUGACAAAGUGUGAAGGCGUAAUCCAACUACAGAAGACUCUUCUAUCUAAAAUUCUAGGUGGUGCAGAGUUGAACUUUGUCAAUGCUCAUGAAGGAACCAGUCUUAUUAAGAAUCGGUUGAGGCAAAAGAAGAUUCUCUUAAUUCUUGAUGACGUGGAUAAUUUGGAGCGGUUAAAAGACUGGGUCGAUGUCGAUUGUUUCGGUGAGGGUAGCAGAGUGGUCAUAACCACAAAAGAUAAAAGUUUGCUAGAUUUUUAUGAAGGUCAGUGGAUAUAUAAAGUCCAAAAGUUGGGAUACGACAAAGCACUUGAGCUUUUUAGUUGGAAUGCCUUCAAAAGAAAUAGACCUCCAGAUGAUUAUUUGAGCCUCGCACGACGUGCAAUAGUCUAUGCUCAAGGCCUUCCGUUGGCUCUUAAUAUUAUAGGUUCUCAUCUGCGCAAUAAAAGUAUAGAUUGUUGGCAAGCUGUAUUGAACAGUUACGAUUCUUACAAUGGAAAACCUUAUACAGAUAUUCAAAUAAUACUUCGAAAAACUUAUGAUGCCUGGGAUUGUAACUUGCAACAAGUUUUUCUAGACAUUGCAUGUUUCUUUAAGGGUGAAAAUAAAGACUACGUGUUACAAAUGUUAAGAAGUUCGACGCUCAAUGUACCUGAAGAUAUUAUUGAUGUACUUGUUGAGAAAGCCAUCAUAGCUAUCGAGUAUAAUUAGAUUGUGAUGCAUGACUUGCUAGAAAAAAUGGGUAAGCAUAUAGUUUACGAAGAAUCACCCAAUGAACCAGGCAAGCGGAGCAGGUUGUGGCAUCAUAAAGAUGUGUGCGAUGUUCUAAUUAAUUGCAAAGUAAGUAAAAUAUAUGUUGUUACAUAAUUACAUUUGAUUUAAUUGGCAUGAUUUUGAAAAGAAAAAAAAAAGAUUUUAUUGUGACUUGUUUGUUAACAUUAUUUCUCUUUCCAUCUUAGGGAACAAAGAAAAUUAGAGGCAUUGUUGUGAAUCUGCCCGAACCAGAUGAGAUACCCUUGAAUCCAAAAAGCUUCUUGGAGAUGGUAAAUCUUGAAUUUUUUAUAAACUAUAAUGCACACUUUUCAGGAUGCGUUGAUUAUCUACCCAACAGUUUGAGGUUGAUUGAAUUCGGUGGACGAUCCAAUAUUGAUCAAGGGGAUAAGUAUGUGCCAUUCAAUUUUCAUCCAAGAGAUCAUAAGUAUGUGCCAUUCAAUUUUCAUCCAAGAGAUCACAAUCAUAAGUAUGUGCCAUUCAAUUUUCGUCCAAGAGAUCUUAAGUAUGUGCUCGAUUUGCCAUCCGAUUUUCAACCAAGACAUCUUGUUAGCUUUGAUGUGUCAUACAGUGGUAUAAGACAAUUGAAGGGAUUUAAGGUACACACUUUAAAUUAUUUUGAAGCAUUAUUUAUUUAGAAAAUUGUUAUUAGUACUUUAAAAAUCUCAUUUUACACUCAAAACUUUCUAUAUUAGGAAAGAAAAUUACACUUGUGAAGAGUGUAGAAUGUGAUUUUUGAAGUGCCAAUAACACUUCCCUUUAUUUAAACAUAUAUUUUUUUCUCAAAAAAAUACCUAAGUAUUUUAUUAUAUUCUUUUUAAAGCAUGUGAACUUAUCUUUUGUUUUUGUUUUUGGUUUUAUAGAAUUUGGCAAAGCUUACAUGGAUGAAAUUAAGUAAUUGCGAAUUCUUGGAAAAAAUCCCUGACUUAUCCGGAAGCCCAAACAUAAAGUUCUUGGAUCUAGGUUGGUGUAAAAAUUUGGUCGAGGUUGAUGAUUCUGUUGGAUUCCUCGAUAAACUUGAAGUGUUGUCUCUUAUUGGGUGCUCUAAGCUUACGAGGUUUCCAACAAGACUUGGAUUGAGAUCCCUUAAAAAGCUUAAUUUUUGGUGUUGCACAAGGCUGGAGAGAUUUCCGGAAAUAGAGAAGGACAAUGAAAUCUGUGACGCAUUUGGAGAUACCAUACAGUGGCAUAAGAGAAUUGCCCUCAUCAAUUGCGUAUCUUACUGGGCUUAGGGUGUUGCUUGCACAUUAUUCUAAGUUGCAAAAUGUCCCCGACUUAUCCGGAAGCCCAAACAUAGAGUACUUGUGUCUAACAAACUGCACAAGUUUGGUCAAACUUGAUGAUUCAGUUGAGUUGCAAAGGGUGAAGUUUGAUGAAGUUUCAUCCAAGCUGACUCUUAAUCUUUCAGAAUGCAAUUUAUCAGAAAGUGAUUUCCUUGUGCCUCUUUAUUGCUGGUCCGAAUUAAGAGAACUUAAUCUGUCGAGAAACAAUUUUGUUAGCCUUUCGGAUUGUAUUAGCAAAGCUGUCAACUUGAAGACACUUUACUUGUGCGAUUGCAAGAGGCUUCGAGAAAUUCCAGUCCUUCCACCAAAACUAGAAUUUUUAAAUCUGAAUGGUUGCACAUCAUUGGAGAAAAUUCCAAAACUGCCCCUGACGCUUGAGAAGCUUAUAUUGUGUAACUGCUCUGGAUUAAGUGGUGAUGAGGUGGCAAAGUUGGAAAACAACUUGUUGAAUGAGGUUGGUCUCUCUUCUUAAUUUAUGUUCAAAUGAAAAUUAAUUUUGUUGAUACUUGAAAGAGAGAUCAGAUCACAAAUGUUUGUAAUUUGUUAAGUAUAUAUAUCUACUAUUGCAGGAAUUUGAUCCGCCCACUCGAUUGAACAUUAUUUACCCAGGCAAUGAAAUUCCAAAGUGGUUCAGCUAUACCUCUAACUAUUCCACAACCAGUCAACAUCUACCAGAAUAUGAAUCUGACAAGGAAUUUCGUUUUGAAAUUCCUCUAAAAUUACAAGUGGGGGAGACGUUAUUAGGAUUGGCUCUAUCUUUUGUUUAUGAACCACCGACUUGUAAAAAGUGGGAAAAUGAUCUUAUUACGUGUAUUAUCAUCGACGGAGAAAGAAGGUUUGAACAUUAUUUAGAGUAUUCUGCGGACAUAAAUGCAACUCAUGUGAGCCUUGCGUUAACGGCGUUAAGGGGUUUACGGGAGCAGGAGCAGCAUGGAGAUAUUUGUCAAGUUGUAUUUCGUUUCUACCAACUGUCUCCCGUUAAAAGCUGCGGCGUGCACUGCCUAUUGCGCAACCAAGACAGUGGAUCCUCAUCUUCGGAGGAUGGGGACAGUGGAUCCUCACCUUCGGAGGAUGAGGAGGAUGAGGAGCAAGAGCAAGAGCAACCGUCCGACUCAGAUGUUCUUUUUGAUAUUGAGGAGGAUGAGGAGCAGCUUCACUUGCCUCUGAGACCAACGAGCAGUCUUGGGAAGAGGCCUCGUCCACGUGGAUCCUCAGAUAUCGUCGAUGAUGCAUAUGAUCAGCAACAGCAAUGGCUUUCCUCAUCUUCGGAGCCAGCAGAUGAUCAUCCAAAACGCAGGCAGAUUGAUCCCAAUGUUCCUUUUGAUAUUGAGGAGGAUGAGGAGCAAGAGUAGCUGUCCGAUUCAGAUAUCCGCAAUUUCCCAUUUUUAUUUUUUUUUGUUUUUAUUUUUUUGGUAAACUUCAAUUUCUGAUUUAUUAGGAGUUUGGGUACGUACAUAUUUGUUUGCACCUUACUAAUCUCUAAAAUUAAGAGACUGUUUGAUGACCAUUUCUGUUUGCAAACCGAAAACCAAUUUGUUCUAUUGUCUUGCGUUUGCCUUUUUGUUUUCUUUUUAUAUAUCUAAACUACAUAUUAAUAGAACUCGUUGUCAACCAAAUUCUUAUGAAAUUAUCACUUUAACCGUCUAUUUAAAACUGAUUAUGAUAAGAAAUAUGGGUAGAAUUGUAAUUUCAAACUAUCAAAAAAAAAUCCUUCCAAAACUUCAUCUAUAUGUGAUUCUAACAAAUCUCUAAUUAAAAAAAUUAAAGCAGCUCUCUUCCCCAAUCCCACAUUCUCUCUCUGUCUCUCUCCUUCUACUUUAAAAACAAAAAUAAAAAAAAAUUUAUGCACAUUUUGCAUGUGGCCAUAUGCUAAUAUACGAUAAAAAAGGGUGUGAUGUCUACACACUCAUUUUUACUUUUUACACAUCUUCUAAUUUUCGACCGUCGGAUCGGAUGAAUUAAAGAAUAUCAAAUGACAGAAAUCAACAAGAGCGUAUGAAAAGUAAAAAAUGGUGUAUGGAUUGCACACCCCUAAAAAAAUUAGUAACAAUUAAAACUCAAUUAGUAACAACUAGCGACUGUAACAAAAAUCUACUAAUCACGACUUCAAAUCAAAGACUAAUAUCUUCCAUUCUAUCACUUACACUUGCUUUUCUCUUACCUAAAAUCUAAAAAUAUCAUCAAUAAAAAACGAAAAUAUCAUAAAGCUAAUCAAAUCAAUGGAAAGUCGUUUCUACAAGAUAAAGUCAUCUACAAAUCAACUCAAAGUCGAUAUCAAAAGAAAUCUACCGAGCUAAGCUGGUUUGUACAUUAUUAUGAAAAAGCAUGAACAACGGACUUCCAAACAACCAUCUAGGAACUUCCAGUUCAGUCCUCAAAUGCCAGCAAUGGAGAAAAGCUUCUCCAACAUUUGCUCUUCUCAGUAAUAUAAUAUUAGUUUUCAAUCUGCAGAAACAAAGAAUUCAUCUGUAGGUGGCUAGUUAUUACAAAAACAGAAACCACAUUUGUAUCCUAAAGAUCUCGGUGACUGCAAGUGAGUAAGCCGCCAUCAUACUCUAUGAGUAUGUAUGACCGCAGUGCUCAAGCAACACCCAUACGAUCCACAACUCUUCUACGUGAACUAACUUGAAAAAUGUUACCAUGAGAAUCAGAAGAGAAACUCCGCCUAUGUAAGUUUAUCUUACAUUGCCGGUCCCAAGCCCGGAUAAAGGAGGAGGGGGAGGGCGUCAGGGAGUCGACAGCCGGCACUCCAUGAUCACGUCGAAUCCUUAUGAAAAUGAAUCCAGAACGAAAUCGCGCUAAAGCUAGGGUGUCACCCGUAAGUGGCGCGCUGUGUGGCCCGAGCACAGUGAUAAGUGAGCAAGGGUCGCUGUAUCUCCAUCGGCACCCGGAUGCAGUGUUAAAUGAGCAAGGGGGCCAUAGAAACUUCUUUUCGAACGACUCCACUCAAAGUUGUUUGGGAGCAUAUGCUCCUAUCAACUUUACACGGGACACACAAAAGAAGUACUUUGAUCCUAUUAGACGGGGGAGAGUGAAGAAGCUAGGACAGAAGGGUUGAGUUCAAGAGAGCAAAAUGCGUUUAGGAACGUGGAAUAUAGGAACCUUAACGGGAAAAUCUAUGGAAGUAGUGGAAGUUAUGGUGAGGAGAAGGAUAAAUAUUAUGUGCCUACAAGAAACUAAGUGGGUUGGUCGUAAGGCAAAUGAUCUAGAAAACUCAGGGUUUAAACUUUGGUAUUCGGGCACAAAAUAGAACGAGAAACGGUGUUGGCAUCAUCAUCGUGGACAAGACCUUGACACAAGAUGUUGUAGAUGUCAAGAGGGUAGGAGAUAGAUAGAAUCAUGGCAAUCAAGAUUGUAAUAGGACAAGAACUUAUCAAUGUGAUUAGUGCGUACGCACCUCAAGUAGGGUUGGAUACAAGUUCGAAGGAGAAAUUUUGGGAAGACCUUGGAGACUUGGUGCAAGGAAUUGCUCAGAUGGAGAAGUUAUUUAUAGGAGGAGAUUUAAAUGGACAUGUGGGCAGGGAGACAGGCAACUAUGGAGGUUUUCAUGGUGGCCAUGGUUUUGGGGAGAGAAACAAGGAUGGGGAAGCUAUCUUGGAUUUUGCAAUGGCAUAUGAUCUCUUCUUAGCCAACACCUUCUUUAAGAAGAGAGAAGAAGAACAUGUGAUCACCUACAAGAGUGGGUCGUCAAAAAACACAAAUAGAUUUUCUUCUAAUGAGGAAAGGGGAUCGUAUAACUUGUAAGGAUUGCAAAGUUAUACCAGGAGAGAGCGUGGCUAAUCAACAUCGCUUGUUGGUGAUGGAUGUACAUAUCAAAAGAGUGAGACAAAAGAACAAGACUUGGAAGUGCCCAAGGACUAGAUGGUGGAAUCUAAAAGAAGAAAAACAAGCCAUUUUCAAAGAGAAGGUAAUCACCCAAUGUGUGUGGGAUAGAGAGGGAGAAGCUAGCCAAAUGUGGGAUUCCAUGGCUAGUUGUAUCCGAAAAGUAGCAAAAGAGGUAUUAGGAGAGUCCAAGGGCUUUGCCCCACACCAAAAGGAAUCUUGGUGGUGGAAUGAGGAGGUACAAACAAAGGUGAAGGCUAAGAAGGAAUGUUGUAAAGCCUUAUACAAGGAGAGGACCGAUGAAAAUGGUGAAAGGUAUAGAAAAGCGAAGCAAGAGGCGAAGAAAGCUGUCAGAGAAGCUAAGUUAGCGGCUUACGACGAUAUGUAUAAACGACUAGAUACCAAAGAAGGAGAGUUGGAUAUCUAUAAACUAGCUAGAGCAAGGGAAAAGAAGACAAGGGACCUAAACCAAGUGAGGUGCAUCAAGGAUGAGGAUGGAAAGGUUCUUGCUACAGAGAACGCGGUUAAAGACAGAUGGAGAGGUUAUUUUCAUAAUCUUUUCAAUGAAGGACAUGAAAUGGAGUGCUUCUUUAGGGGAGUUGAGUAACUCAGAAGAGUGUAGAAACUACUCUUUUUAUCGUCGAAUCCGGAAGGAAGAAGUGGUUGUAGCUUUGAAGAAGAUGAAGCAUAGAAAAGCAAUAGGCCCAGACGAUAUACCAAUCGAAGUGUGGAAAGUUUUGGGAGAGACAGGUAUAACAUGGCUCACUGACCUUUUCAAUAGGAUUUUGAAAACGAAGAAGAUGCCAAAUGAGUGGCGAACGAGCACUUUGGUGCCUAUCUACAAGAAUAAGGGCGACGUACAAAAUUGCAUGAACUAUAGGGGUAUUAAGCUAAUGAGUCAUACAAUGAAGCUCUGGGAGAGAGUCAUUGAGCAUAGAUUGAGGCAAGAGACACGGGUUUCGGACAACCAAUUCGGGUUCAUGCCAGGGCGCUCAACCAUGGAGGCAAUCUAUCUCUUACGAAGAUUGAUGGAAAGAUAUAGAGAUGGGAAAAAGGAUUUACACAUGGUCUUUAUAGAUUUGGAAAAAGCGUAUGAUAGGGUCCCAAGAGACAUUCUUUGGAGGAUUUUAGAGAAGAAAGGAGUACGAGUAGCAUAUAUCCAAGCUAUAAAGGAUAUGUAUGAAGGAGCAAAGACUGCCGUAAGAACUCAUGAAGGACAAACCGAAAGCUUUCCCAUAACUGUAGGAUUACAUCAAGGCUCAUCCUUAAGUCCUUACCUUUUUGCGUUGGUAAUGGAUGAGUUAACAGGACAUAUUCAAGAUGAUAUUCCUUGGUGUAUGCUUUUCGCAGACGAUAUAGUGUUGAUAGAUGAAACUCAGGAAGGGGUAAAUGCAAAGCUUAACCUUUGGAGAGAAGUGUUGGAAUCUAAAGGUCUUCGCCUAAGCCGAUCAAAGACAGAAUAUAUGGAGUGCAAGUUCAGUGCAAAUGGAGGCCAAAACGAGUUAGGGGUGAGGAUCGGAGAUCAAGAAAUACCAAAGAGCGACCGUUUUCGUUACCUAGGAUCUAUCUUGCAAAAGAACGGAGAAUUAGAUGGAGAUCUCAACCAUAGAAUACAAGCUGGAUGGAUGAAGUGGAAGAGUGCAUCCGGCGUGUUGUGUGUGACCGCCGUAUGCCACUGAAGCUCAAGGGAAAAUUUUAUAGGACGGCAAUAAGGCCGGCGAUGCUGUAUGGCACAGAAUGUUGGGCGGUGAAACAUCAACACGUACACAAAAUGGGUGUAGCGGAGAUGAGGAUGCUUCGUUGGAUGUGUGGGCACACGAGAAAGGAUAAGAUUAGGAAUGAGGAUAUCCGGGGUAAAGUAGGAGUAGCCGAAAUUGAAGGAAAGAUGAGAGAAAAUCGGUUACGGUUACGGUGGUUUGGACAUGUGCAAAGAAGGCCUACUGACGCUCCGAUUAGAAGAUGCGACUAUGGGACAGAGGUUCAGGGCCGAAGGGGUAGAGGAAGACCUAGGAAAACUUUGGAAGAGACUCUAAGAAAAGACUUAGAGUACUUGGAUCUAACGAAGGACAUGACACAGGAUCGAGCACAAUGGCGUUCUAAGAUUCAUAUAGCCGAUCCCACUCAGUGACUUGGAUUUUCCAAGUCUCCAACCGAGAAGUUUUCCUCACUCGGGAAAUUAAGGGAACACUACCCCAACCUACAUGCUCCACUCAGAAAGCUUCAACAUACAAGCUUCAACAAAAGAAAAUUCAAAGAACUUAGCGAAGAAGGCUUUGGUGUAUUUAACACAAUACGUUGAAAUGAAGGAAAGCUUAUUUAUUGAUAUCCCCGAUAAGCUACAAAUAUGUACAUAUACAUGAGUCAAAAUAAACACACAAGAGGGAGCCUUCACAAAGGUUGCUUAGGAGAAGUCUCAGCAGUCGGUAGAGCCCCAGAAAGAGAAGGCACCGGAGGGGGAUCAUUCGGAGCCUCAGUACUGGACAGAACCCUAGAAGGAGGAGGCAUCAGAGGUUGAUCAUUUGGAGCUUCAUUACGCGGUACAGCAGCCCAGAAGACGAAGGCAAUAAAUGCCUUUGGAACAAACCCACAAAUCUCUGAUGAUCAAGUAAAACCUGACCAUCAGUUUCCUUCAUCUGGUCAAGCUUCCUCUUCAUGUUUGUAGCAUAGUCAUGUGCGAGCCGGUGCAACUGUUUAUUUCUCAUGCUUGAGCCCUCUAAUCUCCUGUUUGAGACUCAUCACUUCAGCCGCCAAUGAUUCAACUUGGCGGGUUCGAGCAAAUAGGCGUUGGGCCAUAUUAGACACAGAACCUGCACACUGAACACUGAGAGCCAGCGAAUCCUUAACAGCUAACUCAUCAGACCGUUUGGAAAGUAGUCUGUUAUCUUUGGGAGUGAGAAGGUUCCUGGCCACCACCGCAGCGGUCAUAUCAUUCUUCAUCACGGAAUCCCCAACGGUAAGAGGACCAGUAGGGGAGACGAAGGAUGGGCGCCAUAUGUUGUCUGGAGAAGGCGGGGCUGCCUCUUCAACAAGGUUCAAGUCAAAACGACGGUCGGAGGGGCCAGACAUUUUCAAAGGUGUUGAAGAGAGAAGAGGUCGGACAAAUCAAGAUCUUAGAAGUGCAAGAAUGGAGCUUCUACUAGUGGAGAUUCAAGUGUGCUGUAGAACUUAAUGCCAGCCCCUAUAAAAAUCUGCACUCGACGGAGCUUCAGAAAUCGAAGAGGCGCCUGCUCAGAAAUCGAAGAGACGUUUGCUUUCUCAAAAGCUGGGCUGCUUAGAGACCACGAAGGUUGAUAUCAGAAAUCGAAAAGGCGUUUGCUUUCUCAAAAGAUGGGCUGCUCAAAGACCACGAAGGCCGAUCUCAGAAAUCGAAAAGGCGCUCGCUUUCUCAAAAGCUGGGCUCCUCAGAGACCACGAGGGCCGAUCUCAGAAAUCGAAGAGGCACCACCUACUUUUUCAGCCUUGUCAGCACCUGUCACACGCACACUCAGCUUUGCGGAAAUUAUGGGCAUUCUGUCGAAGACUUCUGGUGAAGUAGAAAACACAUGAAUCUUACUGUUCAAUCACCCACUUCCCACACGCAACAAUAGCUCAUGGGUACCACAGAUAACUUUGCCAAAGUUCUCUGCCAAAGUUGGAAAUGAACAGUACCACUGCUGGAUAAUUGGAAAAACCCUAUGUGUCAACCUCUAUGCUUCGUGGCAAGGUAGACUAGCAAACAUGCCCAACCUUUACUCACAUUUGAGAAAACACUCCCAAUAAGAUUACUUGCUCCAAAAUCGAAGAGGCACCGUCCUCCGAAUCUCAAGAGCCAGACUCCCAACAUGACUACUUUCUCAAAAAUCGAAGAGAGGGUAAAGGAACAGUACCAUUGCUGGAUAAUUGGAAAGUCCCUGUGUGUCAACCUCUGUGCUUCGUGGCAAGGUAGACUAGCAAACAUGCCCAACCUUUACUCACAUUUCGAGAAAACACUCCCAACAAGAUUGCUUGCUCCAAAAUCGAAGAGGCACCGCCCUCCGAAUCUCGAGAGCCAGACUCCCAACAUGAUUACUUUCUCAAAAAUCGAAGAGACACCGCUCCCCGAAUCUCGAGAGCCAGACCCCCAGCAUGAUUGCUUUCUCAAAAAUCGAAGAGGCAUCGUUCUCCGAAUCAAUCGAAGAGGCGCUCGCUUUCUCAAAAGCUGGGCUGCCCAGAGACCACGAGGGCCGAUCUCAGAAAUCGAAGAGGCACUUACUUUUCUAGCCUUGUCAGCACCUAUCACACGCACACUCAGCUUUGCGGAAAUUAUGGGCAUUCUAUCGAAGACUUCUGGUGAAGUAGAAAGCACAUGAAUCUUACUGUUCAAUCACCCACUUCCCACAUGCAACAAUAGCUCAUGGGUACCACAAAUAACUUUGCCAAAGUUGAGCACGUGAAGCUUGCAGCUCCCACUACAUCGCUCUGACCAAGAAAGGUAAAAGAAUAGCAAAGAAACAGCACUAACAAAGUUUAGACACAUAAAUUUUGAAGGUCUAGCUACCAUAUUAUUACCCACAAGGGUAAAGGAACAGUACCACUGCUGGAUAAUUGGAAAGUCCCUGUGUGUCAACCUCUGUGCUUCGUGGCAAGGUAGACUAGCAAACAUGCCCAACCUUUACUCACAUUCGAGAAAACACUCCCAACAAGAUUGGUUGCUCCAAAAUCGAAAAGGCACCGUCCUCCGAAUCUCGAGAGCCAGACUCCCAACAUGACUACUUUCUUAAAAUCGAAGAGACUGUAAAGGAACAGUACCAUUGCUGGAUAAUUGGAAAGUCCCUGUGUGUCAACCUCUGUGCUUCGUGGUAAGGUAGACUAGCAAACAUGCCCAACCUUUACUCACAUUCGAGAAAAAACUUUUGCUUGCUCCAAAAUCGAAGAGGCACCGCCCUCCGAAUCUCGAGAGCCAGACUCCCAACAUGAUUACUUUCUCAAAAAUCGAAGAGACACUGCUCUCCGAAUCUCGAGAGCCAGACCCCCAUCAUGAUUGCUUUCUCAAAAAUCGAAGAGGCAUCGUUCUCCGAAUCUCGAGAGCCAGAUAUCACAGACCACUUUUUCAAAGUGCUCUGACAGAGUUAAAACAUGUGAAGCUGGCAGCUCCCACUACCGUGCUAAGACCAAGCAGGGUAAAGGAAUAGCAUUACUACUUGUUGUUAGGGAGACUCCUAUAUAUGUCGAUCUCCAUCCCCAACGGACAGGCAGACCUGCAAAAAUGCUCAACCCUUCCUCAUAUCUAACAGGGCACUCCCAACGAAGCCUUUCGAAAUAUUCAGCUUUCUUUCCCCCCGAUAAUACCUCUGCAAACAAGCUAUACUAGAGCAAGAAUAUCUCAUAUCAUCAGGGUUAAAAGCAAGAGUAUCCCAUAUCAUGCUUUUUCCCUGUCUUUUCCUUUGGCCUUGUUCUUACCUGCAAGACAAGGAGAAAGAGAGCAAUCAGUCAGCACUUGGAAUCAAACUUCCAGCCAGGAACUGACUGCCUGGAACCCCUUAGCUGAUUACUUACCUGGCAUUGCUCUCGAGUACUCAUCUUCAACAUCUAAUGCUUCCAGGGAAGAUAUCGCAUCUGCUUGAGGAACAGAUAGGGCAAGUGCGAAUGAUACAAGGAAGCAUGUGGAGACAAGCGUAACAGCACACGUGCCGAUACAUCCAUUACUCUGUCAAAAGCAAAAGUAUCCCAUAUCAACAGGGUCGAACGUACUCUAGAUUUGAUGGACUUGUUUUGACCCUCAAAUUCUUCAGUCGGCCUUAUACUCUGGAGGACACCAGAAAACCCUCCAGCUCAGUUCAAGAAUAAGCCUGUGGAAAGUUACUUCUUCAAAAGCAAAAGUAUCCCAUAUCAUCUCUUCUCAUUUUUCUUCUCUUUAUCCUUCAUGCUGCUGCAAGAUGGGGAGAAGGUGAACACUCAGCCGCAGCUCUGAUUGCUUACCUUGUCUGUCACCUCUUUCAGCAGAUCCCCUAGCUCGGCGACUUUGGGGACUCAUACUACAUGGUUUGUAUCGCACUUGACCAAGCCUGAAACUACAAGUAAGCUUCAAGUGAAAUUGAUACAUUACCUGUGCAUCUCCACCAGUUAAAGAUACCACCCCUGGAUGGAGGAAGAGUACUUCCAGAGAAGAUGCCACAUCUACCUAUGAGACAGAUAAGGCAAGUCAAGACGAUACCACACUCCGAUACUUAGAAGUUUCGUGAUUACGAGAUCAUUCUCCCACAAUAUUUCCUAAUGUCAUUUGUACUAAAUCAUUCACUUGUACUCACUAAAGGAGAGCUUGAACCUAUGUACUUGUGUAAACCCUUCACAAUUAAUGAAAACUCCUCUACUCCGUGGACGUAGCCAAUCUGGGUGAACCACGUACAUCUUGUGUUUGCUUUUCUAUCUCUAUCCAUUUAUAUACUUAUCCACACUAAUGACCGGAGCAAUCUAGCGAAGAUCACAAAAAGCGACCGUUUUCGCUACCUAGGACCUAUCUUGUAAGAGAACGGAGAAUUAGAUGGAGAUCUCAACCAUAGAAUACGAGCUGGAUGGAUGAAGUGUAAGAGUGCAUCCGGCGUGUUGUGUGACCGUCGUAGGCCACUGAAGCUCAAGGGAAAAUUUUAUAAGACGGUAAUAAGGCCAGCGAUGUUGUAUGACACAAAAUGUUGGGCGGUGAAGCAUCAACACGUACACAAAAUGGGUGUAGCGGAGAUGAGGAUGCUUCGUGGGAUGUGUGGGCACACGAGAAAGGAUAAGAUUGGGAAUGAGGAUAUCCGAGGUAAAGUAGGAGUAGCCGAAAUUGAAGGAAAUAUGAGAGAAAAUCGGUUCCGGUGAUUUGGACAUGUGCAAAGAAGGCCUACUGACGCUCCGGUUCGAAGACGUGACUACGGGACAGAGGUUCAGGGCCGAAGGGGUAGAGGAAGACCUAGGAAAACUUUGGAAGAGACUCUAAGAAAAGACUUAAGAGUACUUGGAUCUAACGAAUGACAUGACACAAAACCGAGCGCAAUGGCGUUCUAGGAUUCAUAUAGCCGACCCCACUUAGUGGGAAAAGGCUUUGUUGUUGUUGUUGUUGUUGUUGUUGAGAAUCAGAAGAGAACAUCUGCACUAGUAGUUAACAUAUACAACCUUUGCAUACCUCAGUUUACUUGUAACUUUGAACUGACAUCGAAGGAUAAUGUUGAAUCAAUAGAAUCAUUGCCUCCUCAGCAAUCUGUUGAUAAAUGAGAACAAAAAUGAAUAGGAUUAUACAUUGAAGGGUUAAUAUUCUAGAAAUCACAAAAAUAUGGAAACCACAACAGUCGAGCAUCCAAAAGAAAGGCAUGAUGCGUACCUUUUCAGUUAAAUCCAGGCCUUUUUCAGAUACGUGAAUGAAAGAAGUAAUAUGAAUUCAACAUUAAUUACCUAAAAACUUGGUUUUAUUCGGAUAUAUAAACCUACGAGGAGAAAUGAGAUUAUAAGGUACAAAAUUUCUACAAGGUUAUCAAAGAACUACAUCAUUUGGAUGAACAUGUAAAGCAACUACUCCUCCUCUGUUCCUGUCUUUAUUAAUCAAGUAUCCACGCAGAGACGGUAGACUUAUAGGAUUACUAUUUAAUCACGAGUCGGGGUUCACAAUAAUCUAAAGUGAGAAAACUCCUGCCCAUAUACAUUAAAAUCAAUCAUUCACUUUCUAAUUUAUAAGUAACAAGAAAAGCAUCUCUCUCUUAAAUUCCCUCUCUAUCUUCACCAGUUCUUGAUUUUGUGAACAAUUGAGGACCCAAACUCCAUCCCAGUAAAUCUAACCAAAUUAAAUUCGUUAGGGUAACUGCGGAAUGAGGUUUUCAUCGGCCAGGAGAAAGAAUUAAUAAAACGAACUAAAACGAGGCGAUUUGUGAGUUUCUAGGGUUCUAUAUGAUGCGAAACUUAAAAUGAAACUUAGAGAUAGAGAAUUUAGAUUUGUGACUUACGUAUUAACAACCAGAAAUCGCAGCCUCAAAUUAUGAAAUCUUAGCCUCCAAUAUUCAAAAUCGCAGUCUCAAACCUCUGAACUCGAAGCUCCAAUAUUCGAAAUCGCAGCCUCAAAUCUCUUAAAUCAUAGAAAUACAAAUUAUUCAUGAAAGCAAUCCAAUCAGUUCUUCGAAGACGAAAUAAAAAACAAAUUCAGAAAAAUGAACCAAAAAAAAAAACGAAUCAAAACAAUUCAAUCCAAUCAUAAGAAACGAUUCAAAAUUACUUCGGAUUUCAAAAGACCAAAACCCUAAAAGAGUCCUCUGCAGAUCGAAUUCGGACUGGACUAGUGGGAAACGAGUCGAAAUUUUAUUGAAAGUAAAAUAUCUCUAAAAUCGUAGCUUCUAACCUCUAGCUCAUAUCAAAAUCGACGGAAAAGCCAUGGGAGAGAGCUCGACAAGUUGGAGGGAGAGAGCUCUCGACGAGCUGGAGAAUUUGUUGUUGGAAAAUAUAGGGAAGGUAGAGAAGUUCCAGAGAAAGGGAAACAAGUUUAAAAAUUUAGAAAUAUGUUGGCUUAAUGUGGGUGGGUGAAAAAUUUCAAAAUUACAUCACUGUCAUGAUUUUAUUUUGUGAUAAAAGAUUUGUUAUUUUAUUUCCUUUCUAGAGAGAGAGAUUUUGUUAACAUGUAAUUUAGAUACUAUAUAUAUUCUGAGAGAGAAAUUAAACUUAUAUACUUGACAUGUCAUGUCAUCAUUAUUUUUUAAUUGCUUUUCCGUUUACAAUUAUUUUCUAUAUUCUUAUUUAUUUGUUUUACUUUUAUGCCCUUUUUUCUUCUUGGUCCAUUUCGGUCUCUCUUCCUUCCCCUUUCUAACCAUGUCUCUCUUCGUACUUCUUUGUAUUUUUCUUUCUCCUCUGUUCGUACUUCUCUCUAUUCUUCCUCCUACAUCAUUAUCUCUAGUAGUAUUGAAAAUUUUGAAACUGAUCUUUUCAAAGUGCAGAAAUUUUGAAACUGAUAUUGCAGAAAUUUUGAAACUGACCUUACAGAAGUGCAAAGAAAAUUUGAAAGUAAUCUGGCAGAAGUGCAUGAAUUGUGAAACUAAUCGUUCAGAAAUGCAUAAAUUGAUUGUUACGGAUCUAAAAUUAGGUUGAAGUUUUUAUAGAUAGUGUCACUUUAUAGUUUUGGCCUGGUUAACUAGCAAGUCUAUUGAGGCCAUGGUUGGAAUUUUAAAAUUUUGGUUUGCUUGUUUUUGGGCUAGGUUUGUUGAGGUUUGAGCUUUUGUCUCUUCUUGAAAUGAUUCAAAACUAGUGAAGUUCUAUGAAAUAUAUUUUGUGUUGUUUUGGUGUACAAAGAUUUGGUGACCAUUGUGUGUUGCAAAUUUUGAAGUAUGGGGCUAAUGCUGAAGCUUCAUCAUGUUUAUGUGUUUAUGAACUUAGUAGGAUUGUGAAUUUGUUAUUAUCUUUCUCUAAGGGUUAGAGAAGGCCUCAUUUCGGCGAUCAAUCCCUCAACCUCUCGCCAGUUGGCCCUAUUGUUAAGGAUGCAAAGGCAUUGCUAGACCAGAUCACUAGAACUGUCAUCACCCAUAUAUGAGUAGAAAAGUAUACCGGAAAAACAUAGCUUUAUUGAAUGAAUUCAGAAACAAAACAAAGAGGUCUUUAUAUAGAGAAAGACCAAAGCAAACCCUAGACUAAAACCCUAAGCCAAAUCCUAAACAAACUCAAAUACUUAAUGGGCAAGUAACUAAUCCUUGGCCCGCAAGAUAACAACCUAAAUUCCAAACUAAAUUCCAACACCCCCCGUCAAACUCAUGGCGGAACACAGUCAUGAGUUUGCAAGGUAGAUGUGGAUACAAGACUCCAAAUUCUAGUGCCAAUGCCGAUGCGAAAAACACAACCAUGCUAAUGCCGAUGCCAACUUCAAAACACAACCAUGUCAAUGCCGAUGCCAACUUCAAACUACCACGUCCAAUCAUCCUUCCUAGAUUCAGAUUUUUGAAUCAGUUCCAAUAUGCAAAACAGUAGAUGCUCCUCCUUUAUGUGGAAGUUCAUGUUGCUGAGACAACUUAGGACAUUGGGACUUCCAAUGCCCUUUCCCUUUAAAAUAAGAACACUCAUCCAUAGCAACCCUACGAGACCUUGCUGCAGCAAAUGCUGAAGUAUUUGACGACGAUGAAGAGAGCCUAUGCGACUGCACACGAACCUCUUCUGCUUGUAACUCAUUAAGAACAGAAUCAACAGAUGGAAAAGGAGUUCGAUGAAGGAUGGAGCUACGGAGCGUCUCGAACUCAUCCCGAAGAGGCAUUAGAAACUGAACAAGACGUUGUUCUUCUCUAUAUUUACAAUAGAGCUUGACAAUGCCGAGUUCUUCAGGCUCAGUCAAUGCAAGUUGAUUCCAAAGAUUGGUCAGUUCAUUGUAAAACACUUGAAUACUCUUAUCACCUUGCUGGAUUGUACGAAUCUCCAUUUCCAAUUGAUACCUCUUAGCAAAAUUGGCCUUGGUAUACAACUUUGCCAAGUGAUCCCAAACUUCCUUAGAUGUUGAGAACUUAGCCAAUUGCAUUCCAAUAGCCAAAUCAACAGAAUUAUUAAUCCAAGUAAUAAUCUUUGAAUUAUUCAUCUCCCAUGCAGCAAACAAUUCAACAUAUUUUUCAUCCUUGGGGUUAUUCGGAAUGGAAACCAUUCCAGAAACAUAGCCCCACAGUCCUUUUCCAAUCAAAAAAUUCUUCAUGACAUACGCCCAAUACACAUAAUUAUUUCCAUUCAAUUUCACACCAAUAGCUUGUAAGGAAUCGUCCUUUGCAGAUGCCAUGACAAUACUGAGGAACAAGAAACACGAUACCUGGUGAAGAUGUAGAUCAAAGGUGCAGAUGCGACUGAUGCAAACUGAUGCAGAUGCAAAGAUGCAGAUUGAUGCAGACUGAAGCGGUGCGGCAGAUGGUGGGUGCGGUGUGGCGGUGGUCCAGUUGGCUGCGAUAAUUGCAGCGAUCUGAGCAGAUGCAAAUUCAAGUCGGCGCAACAGGUUGUAGUCGGACGUGUCCAGUGAUGCAGGGUGAUCCGGUGCUAGUGAUGCGGUCCAGAUGCAGAUGCAAAUAUCAACGGACUGAUGCAGAUGCAGACUGAUGCAACAAUCAAAGUACGAGCGACUGAUGCGGAAUCAAAGUGGCUGUGUUGUUGGGCUAAUUCUGGCAGACAGCAUGGUGGUGGUUCCCGAGAUACCGACCUUGCUCUUGAUACCAAGUAGAAAAGUAUACCGGAAAAACAUAGCUUUAUUGAAUGAAUUCAGAAACAAAACAAAGAGGUCUUUAUAUAGAGAAAGACCAAAGCAAACCCUAGACUAAAACCCUAAGCCAAAUCCUAAACAAACUCAAAUACUUAAUGGGCAAGUAACUAAUCCUUGGCCCGCAAGAUAACAACCUAAAUUCCAAACUAAAUUCCAACAAUAUGUCGUCAAGUGAAUGAAGCAGCGCACCAUCUAGCCCGCUCAAACUUCUUUAUAAUGGUUUUUGUUCUUGGUCUGAAGAACCUCCUGAUCUUUCUUUUGUGUACAUCUCUUCGACCAUUUGGUCUUUCAAUGAAACACUGCUGGUUUUCAAAAAAUAAAUAAAUAAAAUUCGGUAAUUGUUGAAGAUUGGAGGUCGCAUUGAGCGUUUCUCACCCUUGACUUUGUCACAUUGAUAUCGCAAUCGCAUACAUUAUCUGACAUGCACGCAGUAUAUAUCAUUGUUGUCGGUGGAAAUAUAGAGGAAACCUUGGCUGUAGCUGUGAAAUCUACUGAAGAAUUAACAAAACAGAAGAAACCUUUAAUAAGAAAGCGGCGAGUGGUUGUGAGUCGUGACAGGAACGAGUGUGGUGACCCUACUCGGUCAUGAUUCGGAUGUUUUUGGCGAGCAUGGUUUAGAGUUUGUAAUCCUCCAAAUGUCAUUUUUGGUGGAGAUGCACGAAAACUAGUUUCUCUGAUUUCAGAACUGGACUUGUUUAUGUUCUUUAUUUGUUAAUUUAAGACAGUGUAUCAGUACCUCUCAGUCUCUCCUGUAGUAAAACAUCUUUGUAAACACAAAAGAUUCUUUUCACAGAAAUUACCAGAUAAUCUCACAAUGAUCCACAAAAUCUGAUUUUGGGACAAGAUCUGACGUGUUUUUCAUCACUUCAGUCAUGUUUGAUAAAUCCAUUUUGUGUUUUGAUAUUGAACUGGUCUUUUAUGAUGCAAUUGAAGCUUUACGGUUUUCCUAUAAGAAGGUGAACCCUUUCUGUGUACCUUUCACAACCACAAAUAUGGAUUUUGCCAUGCUCGCAAUGGAUCUUGUGAGAUUAUAAUAUAUAUAUAUAUAUAUAUAUAUAUAUAUAUAUAUAUAUAUAUAUAUUCGAUGCAAUACUCUUACAAUUCGUGAUGGCUGCUGAUUUUGUACUUCUCCUUUUAACUGAUAUUUACUCUUACACUUGCAGGGUUGGAUGGUCCCAAACUAUUCAACCUCUACUGCUUGUGCUAUAAGCAGCUUCUGUACUUUGAAUUCGGCAAAUCAUAUCAUUAAAGCCAAUGCAAUAAGUAUUCCUACAACGUGACGUAAUUUAGUGGUAGUUUAGAUGCAAAAAAAAGUCGUACCCAGUGCACAAGGCUCCGCUUUACGCAGGGUCUGGUAGUUUAGAUGCAAAAUUGAAAAUAAUGAUAUACUAAUGAACGAUCGAUCUUUAAGUAUAUUAUAAUAACUGAUAUACAAUUUUCUUUGAAAUCUGACGCAGGACCUUAUGCUCUUGGUAUUGCUCCCAUUCUUUGCAAAUGUUAUUUCUUAGUUCUACUCAAGUUGCACGUACAAUAAUCUUGUUCUUAUGCAAUUACUGGAGGAUUGGGAGGCUUUGUGGCAUGCAGAGCACUGUCACAAAGAAACAAUGAUCCGACCAAAGCAUCACGCCCUUGGGAUAGUGUAAUGCGACCAAUAACUAUGCUAGAUUCAUUUAUUCUUUGACUUCCACCGUGAUUGGUUAUAUGAUGAAACUUCUGUAAAUAUUGUUAAGAACAAGAAUGGUAAAAAUAAUCGAAGGGCAUGUCAUAUAUUGGUUGUCUCAAAUGUAAAUUUGUGUUGGAAUCUAGUCAGCUUUUAUGAAAUGAUGUGUCGUAGUUUAUAACUAAACCUAGUCAUGUCUACUGAGCUUGAGAGUUGAGUUUCUUAAUUUUAGAAACGUUUAACAAGUGCAAAGUUAUUGCAUUGCGAAAGAAUGAGUUUGAAACGUUUAACAGGUGCUGUUUUUAACGAAAUCUUGUUUUUGGUUUUUGGACAGAACCGUGAUGGCUUUGUUAUGGCGGAAGGAGCUGGCGUUUUGCCUCUAGAAGAGUUAGAACAUGCUAAGGUAUUUUCUAAAUCUAUGACCUUGGCAAUGGCACUUGGGUGUCUGUCUGGAUAUCCUUUUUUUCUUUCUGUGUAGGAUCACAUCGUCCGAACGUUGUAGGUGCAAAGUCCGUAGGGACAUUCUGUAUCCUGUGAUUCCCUCAAGCUCUAUGGUCUGACAAACACAUUUUCUAAUCAUUCAUCUCUAUCUUACUAUGCAAUAUGGUGUUUUUUUAAUAAUGUCCUUGGAAACAGGGGCCGGGGUUAUUCUCUGCAUUGAAAAGCCUGGUUGGGGUGGGCAACUCCUCUUUAUUUAACCUUUUUAUUUUGGCAUAAAAUUGAAAGAAAACUAACGAAAAGGGUUUGAAAACUUUGAGUUUUAAUGAUAAGGACAAAAUAAAGGAUAAAAUGAAUAGUAAUAGGAUUGACUUUUUAGUGUAAAAAUGUGAUUUUUCGUUAAAGUGAACAGUACCGGGUGUUUUUCGUUAAAGUUCCCUAAAAUUUACUUUUUAUUAAUUGAUUUAUUUUAUAAUUUUAUUUAUUUUAUCUAAAUGGUCUUUUACAUCCGUAAAAUAUGACUCUACAUUUAUCACGUCAUCACUUAACAAUCAAUCCAACAGAUUAAUUAACAGAUGUCUGACAUUGUCACAAAUUCAUAAGUUGAGACAUGAUAUUGCAAUGUAUCAAAUUUUAAGUAUGAGAUUGUGAUGCGAUCUAUAAUUGAGGUAGUUUUAUGUAACUUAUCAUAAAUUGGUAAUGACUACUAUUUCUUCACACCUUUAUGCUAAAUUCAAAUAUAUAUGCAUCAAGAGUAUGGUCAAUCGUGAAUGAUCCAAGCUAAAACGUUUCUUCAAAAGAGAUCAGGCGGCUGAAGAAGUUGGUUGCAUAUUGGAAAGAACAAGCAGGCAAGAAAGGAAACGAUGAAGAUUUGGAAGAAAUUCAGGAUGAGCGACCGGUGAAAGAUAGAGGAGAUGGCCGCCAUUCCAUCUAACGUUUCGCAGAAACUAGGAGGAUGUAAGUUGUAUGGUUUAGGAGGAUGUAAGUUGUAUGGUAAUUUUAUUUGUACAUGGAGUUCGAAAUUUCGUCCUCGUCUUUCAUACUUGUUUUCUUCAUAUUUUUGCUUCAAAGAAAUACAGUCACUCAGAUUUUAUCCCAGAUAACACAAGAUUUUAUCCCAGAUAACACAAAUUUUCAUAAGGAUUCGACGUGAUCAUGGAGUGCCGGCUGUCGACUACCUGACGCCCUCCCCCUCCUCCUUUAUCCGGGCUUGGGACCGGCAAUGUAAGAUAAACUUACAUAGGCGGAGUUCCAGAUAACACAAAUGAAUGAAAAAAAAAAAUAUGACAGUGCCAGGCUGCCAGCUCUUGGAGGCAAAUUUCCUUGCGCUAGCGAUGCCACCGCCACGGUGACAGCAUUCCAAGCCAAUUCUAUAACUGAAACAACAGAUGAUUGGUGUUGCUACAUGAAAUGUAGUAUCCCAAGCCAAUCUCGUCACUGAACCAUCACAUAAUUGGUGUUGCUGCACGCAAUGCAGUAUCUAAAGCCUUAAUCCCGUCACUGAACCAUCAAAUGAUUGGUGUUUGCUACAUGCAAUACUUGUGAACCAUCACAUGAUUAGCGUUGCUAAUUUUUUGUUCUUUGCCAAAUCACUUAAUUAAUCUUUGCUAUAAUUAGUAUAUGAGAGUCUAUGAUAGAAAGGAGAAAGCAAAAUAAAACCCACAAAUCCGAAGAAAAAUAUGGGAGAUGGUGAUGAGGACCGCAAGACAAUCCCAGCCAUUAAUCUGAAAAUUUUUCCAGAUGAAGAAGAGUACAGGAAACUGAGGGAAGCAUUACAGACAUGGGGUUGCUUCAGGUUUGUGAACCACAGGAUCCCAGUGGCUCUGAUGUCAGAGAUGAAAUGUGUGGUCAGAUCUUUGCUUGACCUACCCAUAUGGAGAUCAAGAAGCAGAACAAAGGUGGCAAAGACUUAGCUGGCUACAUAGCACCAAGCAAACUCAACCCACUUUAUGAAACUUUUGGUCUCUAUGACUUGGCCUCACAUCAGGCUGUUUAUAGCUUUUGCUCUCCGUUAGGCGCGUUAGAUGCCUCUUCCCACCAAAGUUAAGAUUUCUACUACAACCUUAAGACAUGCAAUGAUUAUUUAGUCAAGUAACACUUGAUUAUCAUUUUUGUGAACAUCUAUAUAUUAAGCUUAUCACAUAUUGCAUAUUUGUCACAAAAUGUGAGAUGCCUAGCAUUAUUAACAGUUAUUAACAGUUAUAUAUGUAGUCGAUAACAGAGAAUAUCAUAUCUAACUAUAUAAAUGUUAAAUGAUGAAUGUAUUAAGUGAAGACUAGAUAAUUGAAAGUGCAUGCUGAUGAUGAUUUUUUUCGACCCAAAAAAAAUGAAUAAAUUGAUGAUGAGGAUUUACAUUAAUCUUGUUUCCUUUCUUAUUAUGUUGCUUAAUUUCUCGGCCGAAAGCGAACUGCCGGAGGAAUUCUUCUGGAAAACCGACCGUAUACGACUUUUCUCAGACAGGUGGGACCACGAGUGGUUCCGAAGUAUACAAAACUACAGACAACGUCCUAGUUUUGUACGGUUGGCCGCAAACGGUCGGACGUAAGAAUUUCUUAUCUCACAUGAAAGACGUGCUAAUCUUUUUGUUCUUGCCGACCCCUUAAUUAGUCAAAAACAAAUGCAUAUGGUACACUCAUUCAAUCCCAAAUGAACAAUCCGAUCCAAAUGUCCAAAUAAAAAGGGGAGUUCGGAAGGCUCGUAGUAUCCACUUUUGUAUUCGAAGUCUCAACAAUUCAGAAAUGGGAGAAGGAGAGGAAGAUUGCAGGACAAUCCCAGCCAUUGAUCUGAAAAAAUUUCCAGAUGCAGAAGAGUACAGGAAGCUGAGGGAAGCAUCAGAGACAUGGGGAUGCUUCAGGCUUGUGAACCACAUGAUCCCACCGGCUCUGAUGUCAGAGAUGAAAUCAGUGGUCAGAUCUUUGCUGGACCUGCCCAUGGAGAUCAAGAAGCAGAACAAGGAUGUGAUAGCGGGCAGUGGGUACAUGGCUCCCAGCAAAGUCAACCCUCUCUACGAAGCUUUGGGGCUCUACGACUUGGGAUCGGGUCAGGCUGUCGACAGCUUUUGCUCUCAGUUGAAUGCUU